CAUAUUUGUCAUACUCUAAUUUAUUGAGCUCAUGGAAAGAUAUUGCUAAUAGACCACAAUAUUUUCUCCAGUCUCACUAAAUGUAGCCUCAGUGUCCUUCUCAGUACAGCUUCUCAGAAUAAUUCAGAUACCUAUACCAAUUAAUUACUGAUAGUUUAUGAGAUAUUUGCCAUCUUGCUGACUUAGCCCAAAUUUGUGUCUAGAUAAGUAAGACCAGGAUUGGGUGGCUUUGGAGAAUGUAAUUUCAGCU
rnacentral:lncRNA from 1 species